GGCACUGAAGGCCGAGGCACAGGAGUUGGGGGGUGUAUGUGGCAGGGAAUCUGGAGAUCUGGAUGCGGGGGGACUGACACCAUCCCAUUUCCUGGAGGCCUGGCCUUAGGAGGCGAGUGGACCCCGAUUGGAUCUGCCCUGGCAGUGACCACACAGGCCCUGUGACCCCCAGAGGAGACAUGGGUCAACUGUGUGAGAAGUCCUCUGCUCACUGAGGAUGCCCUCCCAGCUCCCCUGCCCGUGUCUGGCCCACGUGGGACAAGACAAUGGAAGCAUGGCAUGCAGUUACCGAGGUCCACUUGGUGCCGGGAACACACCAGGGCCUCCAGGGCGCCGAGAUCCAGGAGGACAAAAACCCUUCCUGAAGGAGCCCAGGGCCGCCUAGGAACUCGGGGCCCUUCCUGGGCUGGUGUGUGCUGGAAACAACAGAGCUGGGCUGACUUCAGAACAAGAUGGGGAGGGGAGGCGGCCGUGGCCGUGGGGAAGGACGGAGCCUGAGCGCUGACCCCGAAAUCGGACGUUGCCCAAGGGGCCCCUCCCUGUUCUUUCCCUUCCAGCCUGAGCCCCUAAGUGGGGUG